ACGGAAGGCAGCAGUGGGGAAUAUUGGACAAUGGAGGCAACUCUGAUCCAGCGACGCCGCGUGAGUGAAGAAGUAUUUCGGUAUGUAAAGCUCUAUCAGCAGGGAAGAUGAUGACGGUACCUGACUAAGAAGCCCCGGCUAACUACGUGCCAGCAGCCGCGGUAAUACGUAGGGGGCAAGCGUUAUCCGGAUUUACUGGGUGUAAAGGGAGCGUAGGCGGCUGUGCAAGUCAGAAGUGAAAGCCCGGGGCUUAACUCCGGGACUGCUUUUGAAACUGCAUGGCUCGAGUGCAGGAGAGGUAAGCGGAAUUCCUAGUGUAGCGGUGAAAUGCGUAGAUAUUAGGAAGAACACCGGUGGCGAAGGCGGCUUACUGGACUGAGACUGACGCUGAGGCUCGAAAGCGUGGGGAGCAAACAGGAUUAGAUACCCUGGUA
rnacentral:rRNA from 1 species